rnacentral:lncRNA from 1 species
GGGAGUUUAUCCUACUUCCCCUGGGAGCAGAACCUCCUUUUUCCUAGUGGAAGAAGCUACAUCUAAGAUCAGCUGUCUUACUCUACAGGAUCAGGAUUUUUGAUCAUCUCACAGACCAAAUUUCCCACAGAAUCAGAGUGGCUGGCUGUCUCAGAAGAUUCUUAUAAACAGCUGCAUCCCAAAUCCAGACUGCUUGGGGAUAAGCGCUCUUUACCUCCUUCCCCGCUACUCCGGCAACGUGAAAAUGGAGAGCUGACAAGAGGGAAGGGCUGCUUCCUCUGGAGCACAGCCCACACUGUGUCUAGAAGAUGUCACAGCUGUAUUUGUUAGGUCAUCCAGAAAGUACACACUGAGACACAGUUAUAAGGGCAAAAUACUUAUUGGGGAUAAGGUCUGAGAGAUAAGUGGAGGGGAGUCAGUGGGGAAAGCUCAGACCACACUCUGGACCAGACUCUUGUGUCAAGAGGGGUGGAAGGUGGUCAGGUUUGGGGGCGGGGGGAAGAACCUCAGGCAGGUGCAUUGUACUCAGCAGUGGAAUGAAGGGCUUAACAUCAUAUGCAAAAAGGAAGCCCCUCUUAGGUUUUCACCAGGAUUAAAUGGAAUUAGCUUUGUAGUUUUUAUAAUCUUCUUCACAAAAGAAUGCAAUUUCAGUUGCAUUGGCGAUUCUAGCUGCUUUUAGAGUCCUGUCUGCUUUCAAACAGGAAUCUGUCAUCUUCUCCCAAACUCAACAUGAGUUCACUCGUCUGGUUUGUAAGCUUGGUCAAACCCCUGCACAUCUUCAGACCUUUCCUGGCAGGAGUGGGUCUCCCUACGGGGCAAACCGCAUGGAGAGAAGGGCAGGUGAGGAGACAGCGAGAGACCCGGAAGAUUUCAUGCAGCUGCAAUGAUACUCUCCUCAUCUCAAUAACCGGACACGGCACCUCUCCUCUUGUGAGGAGGAGCCCAGAGAGAAAUACUUCUGGGGGACGAGAAGAGCUUAUGCUAUGGGCCACCAGGAAUUCAGGGAGAGGAAGAAAAUGUUUUUCCCACGGAGCCUAUGAUCCACGAGGCCAAGUGGGAAAGACUCGCUCUCUGCUCCGUAUCUCUUUACCCGGUUGGUCAGGACUGAACCUGCUCUUGCUCCUUUUAGUUGAGAUAAAAGCUUUCAUCGGAGUCAUUUCACUUACGUUGGCUUCUCCUGAGGUAGCCGUGCUAGCCUGCGAAAGUGCCCAAACGUAG